rnacentral:rRNA from 1 species
CAGCCGUAAACUAUGCGCGUUAGGUGUAUCGGUGACCACGAGUUACCGAGGUGCCGAAGGGAAACCGUGAAACGUGCCGCCUGGGAAGUACGGUCGCAAGGCUGAAACUUAAAGGAAUUAGGCGGGGGGAGGCACCACAACAGGUGGAGCCUGCGGUUUAAUUUGGACUCAACGCCGGGAAGCUCACCGGAUAGGACAGCAGAAUGAUUGCCGGGCGUGAAGACCCUGCAUGACUAGCUGAGAGGAGGUGCAUGGCGUCAGUGACU